rnacentral:lncRNA from 1 species
CUUCACAAUAACCAUGCUAUUAUACUGACCACUCAUUACAUAAUUUACCAGAAAAUUAUGCAGAAGUAGCAUAAGUCUUUCCAACAUUAAUGCAAAGACAUUAUCACUGAUUUUGAUUUUGAGAUGUGGUCUCAGGUAAAGUGAUAAUUGUAUUAAAACUAAUCUUUUUUUCAAAUGCAUUCCAAGAUCUCAAUUUUCUCCCUCAAAUAUUACCAUAAAAACUGAUGUCUUAGCCCACACAAUCCUUUCUAUCAAAUUCCUCACAACCAGGCUUUGGAUAGAGGGAAUUUCUAAGCCCUGCUGUGGCCGUCUCCACCUGCUCUUCCACGCCAUUCCUCCUUCUUCCAUGCGCACACUUAUAUCUCUAAGAACCUAUCUCACGAAUCAAUAUUCUACCUCUGUUAGCUCAACUCUCCGAGUCAUUCUAGUUGAGGAAAAAAGAGUGGGAAAGUAAAAUUACCACUGUGGUCAAGAUUAAGACAACUUAAACCAGAAGCUGAAUUCCAACCUCUGUGAAGCAUGAAGAACACCGAGAAACACAGGCUGCUAGGAAUUACUGCCUUGACUCUACCUUGAGAUUUCAGCCUUUCCAGUUCCCUUAUAUCUAGUAAAGCAUCAUUAAUUUGGGGCUUCACUAAUUCAAAAAUUGUUAAGAGUUCACACAGGUACUCUGUUGAAGUUUAAUUUUACACUAAGAAUAAUGACAGAUUGCAAACAAUACUAGUAGCAUUAGGAGGAUAUUCACUAUAAAAAACCUUAUCUUCACAAUACAUAUAAAGAGGAUAGUCACAAAAAAUGUAUCUUCAUAAUAUAUAAGGGGGAUAGUCACAAAAAAAGAUCUUCAAGUACUGCAAAAGAACUUGUUUGUUUACAAUAUUAUGCUUAAAAUAUAUGUUACAGUCCCUCUCAGGAAAUUCUAAGCAGUCAUUACAUUAUUACACAUUGCUAGAAGGAAAUGAUAGUUUUCAGACUAAUUUGAAGUAGCUUUUCUCCCAAAGAUUUCCAAAAUAUUUUUUAAUAAACACAAACACAUUGCAAUACUGUUUAGUGCAUUUAAUAAAAUGGAAAAUAGUACACUAGUACUGUGAUUAUACUUUAGUUUCAAGAGAUAAUUGUUAAUAUACAUGUAUAUAUUUUAGAUAGGGUCUCACUCUGUUGCUCAGGCUGGAUUGAGAUGGUAUGAUUUUGACUCACUGCAGCCUGGCCUCCCAGGCUCAAUUGAUCCUCCCACCUCAGCUUCCCAAGUAGCUGGGACUACAGGCACACACGACCAUGCCUGGCUAAUUUUUGUAUUUUUUGUAGAGACAGGGUUUUGUCAUGUUGCCCAGGUUGGCCUCAAACUCCUGAGUUAAAGCAAUCCAACCGCCUUGGCCUCCCAAACUGAUUAUUAAUUUUAAAAUGUCCGUUGGUAACCACUCUUAACAUAUUUUACCCGUAGAGAAUUUUUCUGAAGAAAAAUAAUUAACAUAGAAACAGAAAUGUCAAAAUUUGUCUAAUUAUCUAAUUUACUCAUUACUGACCCAUACUGGUUUUAUUGAUUUUAUUUAUAUGCUAUGUGUUUUAAUUAUCUAUUGUAUAAUAAAUUACCCCAAAACUUAGCAGCUUAAAACAACAAACAUGUAUUAUCUUACAUGGUUUCUGAGAGUUAGUUCUCUGGGGGUGGCUAAGCUGGGUGGCGCUGGCUUGGCUGUCAUUGCAGCUGUUGUCUCGACUGAAGGCUGAGGGAGGAUCCACUUCCAGGCUUUCUCCAUGGUUGUUGGCAGGCCUCAGUUACUUGCCUGAGUUCUCAGGCUGGAGUCCUCAGUUCCUUAGCAAAUGAGACUCCAGAGGCUGUUUGAGUGUCCUCUCAUAUGACAGUUUGCUUCCCCACAGCAAAUGAUCCAAGAGAGAAAGAGUGUGACUGCCUACGAUGGAAGCCAUGGUCUUGAUGACCUAACAACAUACCAUAUGACAUAUCAUCACUUCUGCUCAGUUCUACUGCUCGCAUAGACCAACCCUGGCACAAAGUGGGAAGGGACUUCACAAGCAUGUGGAUACCAAGACACAGGGUGUGAAUACCAGGAGGCGGAGAUCACUGGGAUCCAUUUUGGGGCUUUGCUAACACACUAUGAUUUUUUAAAAGAAGAAUACAAAAAAAAGGGAAGAAAACACAAUAUGGGGGAAGGAAAUGUUCACUCAGAAGGUCCAGAAACACAUUCAAAUAUAUAUAAAAAUACUGUAUACUAAAGAAUGGUCUCUAUAUAUUUGAGUAUGUUUCUGGGCUUUAUUUUUAUUUUAUUUAUUU